GAAAAUGGUAGAAAAAUGGGACCUACUAUGGGGCAUACAUUACAGAUAUCCUAGGAGAAUUUCUAAUAUUUGGUAGGGAAGAUGUUUGCCAGUGUCCAAAGCAUACACCAAAUACGAAGAAUGUAUACAAAAUACUCAAUCUUCAUGCAGGGUAGAGAUUGUACAGGAUCAGAUUGUGGCAUACUUCAUACGGACGCAUAUCAACUCAGUCUCGAGAAAUCUCGGAAGAGUUCUAUCCGCAUGCCCUAUAUCUCCUUUUCUCCCCUUCUCCAUCUCUUCUCUCUCAGAAAAAAGCAUGAUCCGCCGCGUAUCCGUUCCCGUGAUUCGCCGCGCACUCAACUCUGAAGCCAAACCACCAGUCAAGUACGACGGGGGGUCAAGAUCAUCCGGCGAAGGGCAGAAUCAAACAGUGGCCACAAUUGAUGAUGAUAGCAAGGCAGAAGAACAACCAGAGGUUCAAGACUCAUCAUCAACUUAUUACGAAGAGUGUCGCCCUGCGGACAAGUUUCCGCCAGGUACGGUGGCGUAUUGGCUGGCUAUAGGUACGCUCUUGAUUAUUUUUGUUUUACGGUUUGUGAAGUUUUAUUGGACUCGUCAAUCCGCUGGUAUUUAACAACGGAACCACAAACAAACGGCGGAAGAAGUCAAUGAACGAAUGGCUGCAGGCUCUGGCUCUGGGACUAAACUUACACCUGAAGAAGAAGAAGCAAAACUUAGAUAUGGUCCUUGUGAAUGUUGUGGAAAGGAGAAGGACUACGCGACUAAAAACUGCCCUCUGAAGAGUAUUUGGAUUUAAUAGAUAGAAUGCAGUGGAGACAAAUGCAUUUGUAAUUUCUAAGUUGUGUCAGUCUUUUAGAACAUUAAAUAAGAGCUCGUUUGGAUGUAUUUUUAAAAUAACCAAAACCGUUUUUGGUGAAAAUAUUUUUAGAAAUAAUUCUUAGUAAAAAUGUUAAUAAAUCCUGAAAAAAAUACUUAAAAGUGCUUCCUGGAAGAAGCACAUAAUUGGUGCUUCUUGUAGAAAGGAUUUAAACUGCUUUUGGAAUUCAGAAAUAUUUUCUCUAAAAACACUUUCAGUUAUUUUAAAAGUACAUCCAAACGAACUCUAAGUGUCGUUGUGUUUGGUGGUUUGUAGUGCUAAUGUAUGUAUCAAGAUUCAACGGCGACCGGUUUGGUGUUUUUUUAAUGAAAAGUUUGUGUGAAUUAGCAUAU